UUGCUCUCUCCUCUUUUGAUUCCCCAUCUUCUCCUCCUGGUCACCUCUAUCUCCUCCUCCCUCUUCUCUUCUCCAUGUAACUCUGUGUACAUCUCCAGGUGUCCCUCACUGUGGAGAAACUUUUCAUCAUUAACCUAGAUGUUUUAUCAUCGGUGCUGUAUAGAUGGAGAAGUCUUGAGGCUACUGUAAGAAUAAGACUGAAAACCAGAGGCAGGAGGCUUAAGUCCAAAUCCUGAGAACACCAGAGAAUUCCUGAAUCCAGGAACAUUAAUCGAUAGGAGCUCAUCAAACCCCUCCAUACCUGCACUGAAACCAAGCACCACCCAAGGGCCAACAAGCUCCAGAGCAAGACAAACCACACAAAUUCUCCAGCAACACAGGAACAUAACACUGAACCUCAAUAUACAGGCUGACCAAAGUCACACCAAACCCACUGAUAUCUCAAAACAUAUCACUGGACACUUCAUUGCACUCCAGAAAGAAGAAAUCCAGCUUCACCCACCAGAACACUGACACAAGCUUCCCUAACCAGAAAACCUUGACAAGCCACCCGUCCAACCCCACCCACAAUGAGGAACCUCCACAAGAAAGAGGAACCACCAACUGCCAGAAUACAGAAAGGCCAUCCCAAACACAGCAAUAUAAACAAGAUGAAGAGUCAGAGAAAGACCCAGCAGGUAAAGGAACAGGAUAAAUGCCCACCAAACCAAACAAAAGAGGAAGAGAUAGGGAAUCUACCUGAUAAAGAAUUCCAAAUAAUGAUAGUGAAAAUGAUCCAAAAUCUUGAAAACAAAUUGGAGUUACAGAUAAAUAGCCUGGAGACAAGGAUCAAGAAGAUGCAAGAAAGGUUUAACAAGGACCUAGAAGAAUUGAAAAAGAGUCAAUGUAUAAUGAAUAAGGCAAUGAAUGAGAUCUAAAACACUCUGGAGGGAACCAAGAGUAGAAUAACAGAGGCAGGAAAUAGGAUAAGUGAGGUAGAAGAUAGAAUGGUAGAAAUAAAUGAAAGAGAAGGAAAAAGAAAAAAGAAUUAAAAGAAAUCAGGACAACCUCAGAGACCUCUGGGACAAUGUUAAAUGCCCCCACAUUCUAAUCAUAGGAGUCCCAGAAGAAGAAGACAAAAAGAAAGACCAUGAGAAAAUACUUGAGGAGGUAAUCGUUGAAAACUUCCCUAAAAUGGGGAAGGAAAUAAUCACACAAGUCCAAGAAGCCAGAGAGUCCCAAACAGGAUAAACCCUAGGCAAAACACCCCAAGACACAUAUUAAUCAAAUUAACAAAGAUCAAACACAAAGAACAAAUACUAAAAGCAGCAAGGGAAAAACAACAAAUA
ensembl:lncRNA